GACGAACCGAGCGAACGUUGUUCGGAAUCACUGGGCUUAAAGGGCGCGUAGGCGGGCUGUCAAGUUUGGGGUGAAAUCCCACGGCUCAACCGUGGAACUGCCUCAAAUACUGACGGCCUCGAGGAAGGUAGGGGCAUGCGGAACUGUAGGUGGAGCGGUGAAAUGCGUUGAUAUCUACAGGAACUCCGGUGGCGAAAGCGGCGUGCUGGACCUUUUCUGACGCUGAGGCGCGAAAGCUAGGGGAGCAAACGGG
rnacentral:rRNA from 1 species